rnacentral:rRNA from 1 species
UAUCACUAAGNGGAGGAAAAGAAACCAACAGGGAUUGCCUCAGUAACGGCGAGUGAAGCGGCAACAGCUCAAAUUUGAAAUCUGGCGCCCUUGGGUGUCCGAAUUGUAAUUUGCAGAGGAUGCUUUGGGCGAGGUGCCUUCCGAGUUCCCUGGAACGGGACGCCAUAGAGGGUGAGAGCCCCGUACGGUGUGGCACCGAGCCUCUGUAAAGCUCCCUCGACGAGUCGAGUAGUUUGGGAAUGCUGCUCUAAAUGGGAGGUAAACUCCUUCUAAAGCUAAAUACCUGCCAGAGACCGAUAGCGCACAAGUAGAGUGAUCGAAAGAUGAAAAGCACUUUGGAAAGAGAGUUAAACAGCACGUGAAAUUGUUGAAAGGGAAGCGCUCGUGACCAGACUUGGUGCGGCGGUUCAGCAGUCCUUCUGGGCUGUGCACUCCGCCGUCCCAGGCCAGCAUCAGCUGCCGGUCGGGGAGAAAGGCGGUGGGAAUGUGGCCCUUCGGGGUGUUAUAGCCCNCCGUCAUGCCCUUCCGGCGGUUGAGGAUAGCGUCUUGCACGGAUGCUGNCGUAAUGGUCCCUAGCGACCCGUCUUGAAACACGGACCAAGGAGUCGUUCUGCUGUGCGAGUGUUUGGGUGUCAAGCCCCAGCGCGAAAUGAAAGUGAACGGAGGUGGGAGCCUCGGCGCACCAUCGACCGAUCCUGAAGUUUACUGAUGGAUUUGAGUAAGAGCACAGCGGACCGGACCCGAAAGAAGGCGAACUAUGCUUGGAUAGGNCAAAGCCAGAGGAAACUCUGGUGGAGGCUCGCAGCGGUUCUGACGUNCAAAUCGAUCGUCAAAUCUGAGCAUGGGGGCGAAAGACUAAUCGANCCUUCUA